UACGUAGGGUGCAAGCGUUGUCCGGAAUUAUUGGGCGUAAAGGGCGCGUAGGCGGUGCGGUAAGUCACCUGUGAAACCUCUAGGCUCAACCUAGAGCCUGCAGGCGAAACUGCCGUGCUUGAGGGUGGGAGAGGUGCGUGGAAUUCCCGGUGUAGCGGUGAAAUUCGUAGAUAUCGGGAGGAACACCGGUGGCGAAGGCGGCGAUCUGGGUAGAUACUGACGCUGAGGUGCGAAAGCGUGGGGAGCAAACAGG
rnacentral:rRNA from 1 species